rnacentral:rRNA from 1 species
GUGCCAGCAGCCGCGGUAAUACCGGCAGCCCGAGUGAUGGCCGAUCUUAUUGGGCCUAAAGCGUCCGUAGCUGGCUGCGCAAGUCCGUCGGGAAAUCCACCUGCCCAACAGGUGGGCGUCCGACGGAAACUGCAUAGCUUGGGACCGGAAGGCUCGAAGGGUACGUGCGGGGUAGGAGUGAAAUCCCAUAAUCCCGCACGGACCACCGAUGGCGAAAGCACUUCGAGAAAACGGAUCCGACAGUGAGGGACGAAAGCCAGGGUCUCCAACCGGAUUAGAUACCCUAGUAGUCC